rnacentral:lncRNA from 1 species
CAAUGAUAGAAUUGGGCCAAAUUUCCCUCCCUACAUUUCUCCCUUCAGCCUGGCACAUGGGUGAGUGCACUUCAGCCUCAACUUUUUUUUUACCACCAAUCCCUGAAGCCACCCACAAAGACACCAGCUUCUUAUUUUAAAUUGCCACAAACAGUGCCCUCUCUUCUCUCUUGUGUGUCCCAGAAGACAUUCAAAGUCCCCUUGCUCAUUCAUGGACAUUAAGCAGGGAAAGGUUUUGGACAGAGGCAAGUCCGCAACCUCUUACCAUAUAAUCCAGAUUUACAUCAAAUCCAGUCGUGUCCAACUCUGGGGGUUAGUGCUCAUCUCCAUUUCUAAACCAAAGAGCCGGCAUUGUCCGUAGACGCCUCCAAGGU